CCUACGGGAGGCAGCAGUAGGGAAUCUUCCACAAUGGGCGAAAGCCUGAUGGAGCAACGCCGCGUGGGUGAAGAAGGUCUUCUGAUCGUAAAACCCUGUUGUUAGAGAAGAAAGUGCGUGAGAGUAACUGUUCCCGUUUCGACGGUAUCUAACCAGAAAGCCACGGCUAACUACGUGCCAGCAGCCGCGGUAAUACGUAGGUGGCAAGCGUUAUCCGGAUUUAUUGGGCGUAAGGGGAACGCAGGCGGUCUUUUAAGUCUGAUGUGAAAGCCUUCGGCUUAACCGGAGUAGUGCAUUGGAAACUGGGAAACUUGAGAGCAGAAGAGGAGAGUGGAACGUCAUGUGUAGCGGUGAAAUGCGUAGAUAUAUGGAAGAACACCAGUGGCGAAAGCGGCUCUCUGGUCUGUAACUGACGCUGAGGUUCGAAAGCGUGGGUAGCAAACAGGAUUAGAUACCCGUGUAGUC
rnacentral:rRNA from 1 species